CGUAUGCUGUUGGCUGCAGCCGUGCGCCAGUUAACAUAGGGGUAUAUAGGGCCGGACCGGCCACUGGGAGCGGCACUGCUACCACCGACCGCCGUCUCCCAGGUGACCGGCAGACUGGGGAGGACCACAGCGACGACUAGGGACACGAGGACAACAGGGCGAAGGACACAGUAGCGAGAGGACACAAAGAAAGCAGGGCGGAGGACUGUUGGGAGAGACCUAACAGCAGCGCGACGGUCGGACAUCAUCAGAGAGACGGGAGAGGACUGCCAACAGAGGACAGGAGAAGACUGGCAACCAAGGCCAGGAGAGGACAGGAGGGGAAAGCCAACGGAGGGCAUAAGAGGACGACCAUCGGAGGACAGGAGAGGACGGCCAACGGAGGACAAGAGACCCCCACAUAUAUCUGACAAUCGCAAUACGUGAUAGUUGAAGAGAAGCACGAGCAAUGCGCCUGAAAAACGUGAUAAUGUUGAUCUUUCUACUGGGUAUCGUAUGCAGCCUUCUCUCACCGGCCAUGGCACAACUGUCUGCGAUCACUCGCCGAGCGGCCAAGAAGGACAGGAGGCUGCAAGUCAUUAAACUGUCGUGCAGCCGGUGCUACAGACCCUGUGGCCAACACUGCUGCAGGAAGUGGGGCUGUGGGAGAAGAGGCUGAGACCGGCGGAUGGUGACCUGGUACAGGACCUCUUUUUUACAGUACGUUUUACAAGGACAAGGCUGCCGAGAACGGAAACCAGCACAGUCUUCGAAAAAAAUUCAUCCACGCAUUUUAAGAUUUGAUUACAACUCGUUGUUUGAUACCUGCCGGUUCCCAAAACGCUAACGCAAGUGUUACUGGUAUACAAAGUUAACAUCACUGCCCGGACCAUGUUGAGAUCUCAUGAUGAAGUCUGACACUAAGAUCUUAUCAAAAACUGAGAUCUCGUGAUUAGUAGCACACUCCUGCCUAAAUGACACCAAACCAGCAACAGUUAUUCCCUGCAUCCGAUGGCAGGAAAACCGGGCUGGAUCCAUGUCAUGUCUUGGCAAAAAAACACUGACGUACUAAAAAUAUGGACAAUAUGCACGGGGAAAGCCUCAGCGCCACACUUAGCUUAACAUACAAACAAUUCGCCUGAUAUAAUUACAGUGGAGUGCUACAGGAACCAACAAUUUGUGAAAUUGAUGUUACAACAUUUUUAGAUAGCUGUCGUAUCAGAGUUAUUGAAAUACGCUGUUGAAGAAGACAAGAAGACUUCUCUCACAAGAUGUCCAAAUUCAUCUUGAUUGUUGUUUUUAUUCAUCAUUAUCUAUGUUAAUAAAUUUCGGUAGAGAAGAAA